rnacentral:rRNA from 1 species
GACGAACGCUGGCGGCGUGCUUAACACAUGCAAGUCGAACGGAAAGGCCCCUUUGGGGGUACUCGAGUGGCGAACGGGGGAGUAACACGUGAGUAACCUGCCCUUGACUUCGGGAUAACUUCAGGAAACUGGGGCUAAUACCGGAUAGGAAUCCUUGCUGCAUGGUGGGGGUUGGAAAGCUUCGGCGGUUUUGGAUGGACUCGCGGCUUAUCAGCGUGUUGGUGGGGUAGUGGCUUACCAAGGCUUUGACGGGUAGCCGGCCUGAGAGGGCGACCGGCCACCGUGGGACUGGGAUACGGCCCCGACUCCUACGGGGGGGCGCAGGGGGGAAUUUUGCACAAUGGGCGGAAGCCCGAUGCAGCAACGCCGCGGGCGGGAUGACGGCCUUCGGGUUGUAAACCGCUUUCAGCAGGGGCGAAGCUUGUGGUGACGGUACCUGCAGAAGAAGCACCGGCUAACUACGUG